rnacentral:rRNA from 1 species
GAUUCAGCGGCGGACGGGUGAGUAAUGCCUAGGAAUCUGCCUGGUAGUGGGGGACAACGUUUCGAAAGGAACGCUAAUACCGCAUACGUCCUACGGGAGAAAGCAGGGGACCUUCGGGCCUUGCGCUAUCAGAUGAGCCUAGGUCGGAUUAGCUAGUUGGUGAGGUAACGGCUCACCAAGGCUACGAUCCGUAACUGGUCUGAGAGGAUGAUCAGUCACACUGGAACUGAGACACGGUCCAGACUCCUACGGGAGGCAGCAGUGGGGAAUAUUGGACAAUGGGCGAAAGCCUGAUCCAGCCAUGCCGCGUGUGUGAAGAAGGUCUUCGGAUUGUAAAGCACUUUAAGUUGGGAGGAAGGGCAUUAACCUAAUACGUUAGUGUUUUGACGUUACCGACAGAAUAAGCACCGGCUAACUUCGUGCCAGCAGCCGCGGUAAUACGAAGGGUGCAAGCGUUAAUCGGAAUUACUGGGCGUAAAGCGCGCGUAGGUGGUUUGUUAAGUUGAAUGUGAAAGCCCCGGGCUCAACCUGGGAACUGCAUCCAAAACUGGCAAGCUAGAGUAUGGCAGAGGGUGGUGGAAUUUCCUGUGUAGCGGUGAAAUGCGUAGAUAUAGGAAGGAACACCAGUGGCGAAGGCGACCACCUGGGCUAAUACUGACACUGAGGUGCGAAAGCGUGGGGAGCAAACAGGAUUAGAUACCCUGGUAGUCCACGCCGUAAACGAUGUCAACUAGUUGUUGGGUUCCUUGAGGACUUAGUAACGAAGCUAACGCGAUAAGUUGACCGCCUGGGGAGUACGGCCGCAAGGUUAAAACUCAAAUGAAUUGAC